GAGUCUAGGGAGGAGGUAGGGCAGGGAGAGUGGUGUGGAGUCUAGGGAGGAGGUAGGGCAGGGAGAGUGGUGUGGAGUCUAGGGAGGAGGUAGGGCAGGGAGAGUGGUGUGGAGUCUAGGGAGGAGGUAGGGCAGGGAGAGUGGUGUGGAGUCUAGGGAGGAGGUAGGGCAGGUAGAGUGGUGUGGAGUCUAGGGAGGAGGUAGGGCAGGGAGAGUGGUGUGGAGUCUAGGGAGGAGGUAGGGCAGGGAGAGUGGUGUGGAGUCUAGGGAGGAGGUAGGGCAGGUAGAGUGGUGUGGAGUCUAGGGAGGAGGUAGGGCAGGGAGAGUGGUGUGGAGUCUAGGGAGGAGGUAGGGCAGGUAGAGUGGUGUGGAGUCUAGGGAGGAGGUAGGGCAGGGAGAGUGGUGUGGAGUCUAGGGAGGAGGUAGGGCAGGGAGAGUGGUGUGGAGUCUAGGGAGGAGGUAGGGCAGGGAG